CCCGCUGAACUUAAGCAUAUCAAUAAGCGGAGGAAAAGAAACUAACAAGGAUUCCCCUAGUAACGGCGAGUGAAGCGGGAAGAGCUCAAAUUUGAAAUCUGGUGGCCUCAGGCUAUCCGAGUUGUAAUCUAUAGAAACAUUUUCCGCGUUGGCCCAUGUACAAGUCUCUUGGAAUAGAGCGUCAUAGAGGGUGAGAAUCCCGUCCUUGACAUGGACUACCAGUGCUCUGUGAUACACUCUCAACGAGUCGAGUUGUUUGGGAAUGCAGCUCAAAAUGGGUGGUAAAUUCCAUCUAAAGCUAAAUAUUGGCGAGAGACCGAUAGCGAACAAGUACCGUGAGGGAAAGAUGAAAAGCACUUUGGAAAGAGAGUUAAACAGUAUGUGAAAUUGUUGAAAGGGAAACGAUUGAAGUCAGUCGUGUCUAUUGGACUCAGCCGGUUCUGCCGGUGUACUUCCUUUAGAUGGGGUCAACAUCAGUUUUGAUCGCUGGAAAAGGGCAGGAGGAAUGUAGCACUCUCGGGUGAACUUAUAGCCUUCUGUCGCAUACAGUGGUUGGGACUGAGGAACGCAGCUUGCCUUUAUGGCCGGGAUUUAUCCACGUACAAGCUUAGGAUGUUGACAUAAUGGCUUUAAACGACCCGUCUUGAAACACGG
rnacentral:rRNA from 1 species